UGCGUAGGUGGUUACCUAAGCGCAAGGUUUAAUCUUGAGGCUCAACCUCAUUCUGCCUUGCGAACUGGGCUACUUGAGUGCUGGAGGGGAAAGCGGAAUUCCCAGUGUAGCGGUGAAAUGCGUAGAUAUUGGGAAGAACACCGGUGGCGAAGGCGGCUUUCUGGACAGUAACUGACACUGAGGCACGAAAGCGUGGGGAGCAAACA
rnacentral:rRNA from 1 species